rnacentral:rRNA from 1 species
GACGGAACCGUGCGAACGUUUAUUCGGAAUUCACGUUGGGACGUUAAAGCGCGUGUAGGGACGGGCCGCCACGAUCGGGCCCGCUGAAAGUCCCCCGGCUCAACCGGGGAACGGGCACCGAUCACGAGCGGGCCUGGAGGGGCAGUGAGGGGGGACCUGGGAACUUCCGGUGGAGACGGUGAAAUGCGUUGAGAUCGGAAGGAACGCCCGUGGCGAAAGCGAGGUCCUGGGCUCCUGCUGACGCUGAGACGCGAAAGCCAGGGGAGCGAACGGG